rnacentral:rRNA from 1 species
UGCAGUCGAGGGGUAACAGGGAUUGCUUGCAAUCCGCUGACGACCGGCGCACGGGUGCGUAACGCGUAUGCAACCUACCUUCUACAGGGGGAUAGUCAAUAGAAAUGUUGAAUAAUACCCCAUACGAUCAUUUAUCUGCAUAGAUAAAUGAAGAAAGCUCCGGCGGUAGAAGAUGGGCAUGCGUCCUAUUAGUUAGUUGGUAAGGUAACGGCUUACCAAGACAUCGAUAGGUAGGGGUCCUGAGAGGGAGAUCCCCCACACUGGUACUGAGACACGGACCAGACUCCUACGGGAGGCAGCAGUGAGGAAUAUUGGACAAUGGAGGCAACUCUGAUCCAGCCAUGCCGCGUGCAGGAAGACGGCCCUAUGGGUUGUAAACUGCUUUUAUACAGGAAGAAUUGUACCUACGUGUAGGUAUUUGACGGUACUGUACGAAUAAGGAUCGGCUAACUCCGUGCCAGCAGCCGCGGUAAUACGGAGGAUCCAAGCGUUAUCCGGAAUCAUUGGGUUUAAAGGGUCCGUAGGUGGUUUAUUAAGUCAGAGGUGAAAUCCUAUCGCUCAACGAUAGAACUGCCUUUGAAACUGAUAGACUUGAGUUAUUGUGAA